UACAGAGGGGGCAAGCGUUAUUCGGAAUUAUUGGGCGUAAAGGGCGCGUAGGCGGCGAUUCAAGUGACGGGUGAAAUCCCUCGGCUUAACCGAGGAACUGCCUGUCAGACUGGAUUGCUUGAGGCCGGGAGAGGCGAGUGGAAUUCCCAGUGUAGCGGUGAAAUGCGUAGAUAUUGGAGGAACACCGGUGGCGAAGGCGGCGUUCUGGACUGCAACUGACACUGAAAAACGAAAGCCAGGGGAGCAAACGGG
rnacentral:rRNA from 1 species